GCCAGACUCCUACGGGAGGCAGCAGUCGAGAAUCAUUCACAAUGGGGGAAACCCUGAUGGUGCGACGCCGCGUGGGGGAAUGAAGGUCUUCGGAUUGUAAACCCCUGUCAUGUGGGAGCAAAUUAAAAAGAUAGUACCACAAGAGGAAGAGACGGCUAACUCCGUGCCAGCAGCCGCGGUAAUACGGAGGAUGCGAGCGUUAUCCGGAUUUAUUGGGUUUAAAGGGUGCGUAGGCGGGACGGUAAGUCAGCGGUAAAAAUGCGGUGCUCAACGCCGUACAGCCGUUGAAACUGGCAGUCUUGAGUGGGCGAGAAGUAUGCGGAAUGCGUGGUGUAGCGGUGAAAUGCAUAGAUAUCACGCAGAACUCCGAUUGCGAAGGCAGCAUACCGGCGCCCGACUGACGCUGAGGCACGAAAGCGUGGGGAUCGAACAGGAUUAGAUACCCGCGUA
rnacentral:rRNA from 1 species